rnacentral:rRNA from 1 species
CCUGGGAAGUACGUCUGCAAGGAUGAAACUUAAAGGAAUUGGCGGGGGAGCACUACAACCGGAGGAGCCUGCGGUUUAAUUGGACUCAACGCCGGACAUCUCACCAGCUCCCGACAGUAGUAAUGACGGUCAGGUUGAUGACCUUACCCGAUGCUACUGAGAGGAGGUGCAUGGCCGCCGUCAGCUCGUACCGUGAGGCGUCCCUGUUAAGUCAGGCAACGAGCGAGACCCGCACUCCUAAUUCCAGCAGUACCCUUUGGGUAGCUGGGUACAUUAGGUGGACUGCCGCUGCCAAAGCGGAGGAAGGAACGGGCAACGGUAGGUCAGUAUGCCCCGAAUGAGCUGGGCAACACGCGGGCUACAAUGGUCGAGACAAUGGGAUGCAACUCCCGAGAGGAGGCGCUAAUCUCCUAAACUCGAUCGUAGUUCGGAUUGAGGGCUGAAACUCGCCCUCCAUGAAGCUGGAUUCGGUAGUAAUCGCGUGUCAGAAGCGCGCGGUGAAUACGUCCCCUGCUCCCUNNNACACACCGCCCGUCAAAGCACCGAGUGGGGUUCGGGAU